rnacentral:rRNA from 1 species
AUUGAACGCUGGCGGCAGGCUUAACACAUGCAAGUCGAACGAGUGGCGGAGGGGUGAGUAAUGCUUGGGAAUCUGGAUGAUGGGGGGGGAUAACGACGGGAAACUGUAACUAAUACCGCGUACCAUAGGAUGAGCACAAGUGGGAAUAGGUAGUUGGUGGGGUAAUGGCCUACCAAGCCGACGCUCCCUAGCUGGUCUGAGAGGAUGACCAGCCACACCGGGACGGAGACACGGCCCGUACUCCGACGGGAGGCAGCAGUGGGGAAUAUUGCGCAAUGGGGGCAACCUGACGCAGCCAUGCCGCGUGAAUGAAGAAGGCCUUCGGGUUGUAAAGUUCUUUCGGUGACGAGGCGUUAAUCACAGAAGAAGCACCGGCUAACGCCGGGCCAGCAGCCGCGGUAAUUC